ACAAGAUUAAUGAGAAAUAAACAUUUAACGAAAAAAUAACAUUUCUCAAGGAGUAAGAGAUGAGGUUCCAAGUAAAAGCCAACAAUUUGGAUCCAUCAAAUCCCAAGCUCUGCUUUCCCUUGACUUCACUUGGAGGAGUCAGAGAAAGAGGAAAUCCUGUACAUCCCACCUUGCUCCAGGCACUCUUUCCCCACUCUGGUGCGAUGUAGCUGCCUUUUCUCCUUCCCUAGGCCCACAGCUCAGAUUCUCCACAGCUUGGAAGGAGACUCUACACAGUGUUUACUGAGGUGACAUGUAAGGCCCAAGCAUAUCUCAUGUUGCCACUGUACUCAUGGUUGGCUUGUGCAGGUCCCUGAAAGAGGAGAUUCAGAGACAUUGGAUGCUGAAAGCCACAGGUACUGGCACGAAGUCUUUGAAACAGUCUGUACUGUUGCUGUGAUGGGAUCAUGAAUCAGCAGAUAGCAGGAGCAAUGCUAACAUACUUUUGGAUUCAGACGCGCUACCAUUGCACGACGAGGUCCCAUCAUAUUUUUGAAAGAGAUUUAGAGAACAGCAUUUGCUUGGAAGGACAAACUAAGGAUCUUACCAAUUUUCUGAGACUGUAACUGGCAUACUGGGUGACACAUCUAAAUUACUGGGCGGGGAGCCAAUUUCCUCCUAGGUUUCCAUUUCUUUCAGGAGCCAAAGACCUCCCCUCUGGCUCAUGCUCAGCUCUAGAUAAGCAGCCUAAAUUCUUUCAACAUGGACUAAGCAUGCUGGAAGUACAUUUCACACAUUUAAAAAGUGAUGGUCUUUCAUACCUAAUACCUAAAUUUUAACUUCUAUUAUUUUCCUUUGGUAUUCAAGGCUCUUUGGAGAAAGGGAUGAUUCCAAGACUAAAUCAGUGAAAGAUUCCUAGGCAAAAAUGAGACUGGAACAUCUAUUAUACAAGAAAGCCUUGCAGGAACAAGGGAUGAGGCUGUUUGGUCAAAGACAGCAGGUAUGCACGUCACAUGUCCUGGCCCAGGGAUGGUGUCAGCCAAGGUGCACUCAGGACUAUAGCUUCUCAUUUCUGUACAUCUGCCAUAAGAGGACACAUUCUUCCUGUUCA
ensembl:lncRNA